CCUCCGUUGGUGAACCAGCGGAGGGAUCAUUACAGGACUCGCAAGACUCCUUCACCCUGUGAACCUCACUACAAGCACGUUGCUUCGGCGGGUGUCCCGGCGGGGGUUUUCCCUCGCCGGGGCGCACAGCCCGCCGGCAGCCUACUAUACUCUGUCUCUUUGCGUUGGCAUCUCGAGAAAAAACAAACAAGUUAAAACUUUCAACAACGGAUCUCUUGGUUCUG
rnacentral:misc_RNA from 1 species